CGACCCCUAAGGCGAGGCCGAAAGGCGUAGUCGAUGGGAAACGGGUUAAUAUUCCCGUACUUGGUGUUACUGCGAAGGGGGGACGGAGAAGGCUAUGUUGGCCGGGCGACGGUUGUCCCGGUUUAAGCGUGUAGGUGUGUGUUCCAGGUAAAUCCGGUUCACUUUAACACUGAGGCGUGACGACGAGGCACUACGGUGCUGAAGCAACAAAUGCCCUGCUUCCAGGAAAAGCCUCUAAGCAUCAGGUAACAUCAAAUCGUACCCCAAACCGACACAGGUGGUCAGGUAGAGAAUACCAAGGCGCUUGAGAGAACUCGGGUGAAGGAACUAGGCAAAAUGGUGCCGUAACUUCGGGAGAAGGCACGCUGACACGUAGGUGAAGUGAUUUACUCAUGGAGCUGAAGUCAGUCGAAGAUACCAGCUGGCUGCAACUGUUUAUUAAAAACACAGCACUGUGCAAACACGAAAGUGGACGUAUACGGUGUGACGCCUGCCCGGUGCCGGAAGGUUAAUUGAUGGGGUCAGCGCAAGCGAAGCUCCUGAUCGAAGCCCCGGUAAACGGCGGCCGUAACUAUAACGGUCCUAAGGUAGCGAAAUUCCUUGUCGGGUAAGUUCCGACCUGCACGAAUGGCGUAAUGAUGGCCAGGCUGUCUCCACCCGAGACUCAGUGAAAUUGAACUCGCUGUGAAGAUGCAGUGUACCCGCGGCAAGACGGAAAGACCCCGUGAACCUUUACUAUAGCUUGACACUGAACAUUGAGCCUUGAUGUGUAGGAUAGGUGGGAGGCUUUGAAGUGUGGACGCCAGUCUGCAUGGAGCCGACCUUGAAAUACCACCCUUUAAUGUUUGAUGUUCUAACGUGGACCCGUUACCCGGGUUGCGGACAGUGUCUGGUGGGUAGUUUGACUGGGGCGGUCUCCUCCUAAAGAGUAACGGAGGAGCACGAAGGUUGGCUAAUCCUGGUCGGACAUCAGGAGGUUAGUGCAAUGGCAUAAGCCAGCUUGACUGCGAGCGUGACGGCGCGAGCAGGUGCGAAAGCAGGUCAUAGUGAUCCGGUGGUUCUGAAUGGAAGGGCCAUCGCUCAACGGAUAAAAGGUACUCCGGGGAUAACAGGCUGAUACCGCCCAAGAGUUCAUAUCGACGGCGGUGUUUGGCACCUCGAUGUCGGCUCAUCACAUCCUGGGGCUGAAGUAGGUCCCAAGGGUAUGGCUGUUCGCCAUUUAAAGUGGUACGCGAGCUGGGUUUAGAACGUCGUGAGACAGUUCGGUCCCUAUCUGCCGUGGGCGCUGGAGAACUGAGGGGGGCUGCUCCUAGUACGAGAGGACCGGAGUGGACGCAUCACUGGUGUUCGGGUUGUCAUGCCAAUGGCACUGCCCGGUAGCUAAAUUCGGAAGAGAUAAGUGCUGAAAGCAUCUAAGCACGAAACUUGCCCCGAGAUGAGUUCUCCCUGAGACUUAGAGUCUCCUGAAGGAACGUUGAAGACGACGACGUUGAUAGGCCGGGUGUGUAAGCGCAGCGAUG
rnacentral:rRNA from 1 species